UUCGGCGAAUUUUAUAUGCCAAAGUUUUUAAAUAAUAUGAUUAUUUUCUCAAACUUUUACUUAUUGUAUAAGGAUUGAAUAUUUUUAUAGUGACACCGCUUGGAAGUAUACCAGUCAAAGCUUGGAAGUAUACCAGUCAAAGCUUGGAAGUAUACCAGUCAAAGCUUGGAAGUAUACCAGUCAAAGGUUGGAAGUAUACCAGUCAAAGCUUGGAAGUAUAACAGUCAAAGCUUGGAAGUAUACCAGUCAAAGCUUGGAAGUAUAACAGUCAAAGCUUGGAAGUAUAACAGUCAAAGUUUACAAACUUCUGUUAUCCAUAUCAUAGUCAUUUGAACAUUUUUUAAAUCGCCAAAUCCUCAAUAAAACAGCCAGCUGGUGAAAAAUUCUAGAAGGAAUCUUGGAUAUGGUUCUAUUUCUUGAUGAAUUUUAGGCCACUAAAACUAAUGCCACUCCUGAUGUAAGCCAUACUGAACAAUCUACGUUUGUCAUUCGAUAUUUACAAAAACAGAAACCUGAAAAAUUUUGAAGACUAGGUCUGAUAUUGCAAGAUUAAUUCUGGAAACUUUGAAAAUUUAUUUUAAAGACCGCCGUAGCCAAGACUAUGGAGUAUGAAGACAACAUGUCAGGACAAUACAAGGGUGUUCAAGCAAUCUUAAAAUGAAUAAGCUAUUGUCUAUAUUCUCACCCUGUGGCUGUCAUUCAUUGAAUUUGAUAGAAUUCUGCCUCAAACUGUACAGAUGCUGAAACUUACUUUGGAACUGUUUUAACCAAGUAUACAAUCUUGUUUGCUAGUUCACAACACAAUAUUGCAAAAGUGGCAAAAGGUACACCUCUAUGUGUUCAUGCAAAGGCACACCUCUAUAAUGUGUGUUUGCAUGGGAAAUUUGAAACUUAAUGAACUGAGAGAUCUGGCAGCAUUUCCUCUUUCUUUGAUCACUUAAACCAAAUCUUUAAUUGUUUGGAAAAAGUGUACAGCUUGAAUCUCACGCCUAAAACAAAAACUGAGAUUAGAGGUCCCCUAAAACAUGCUAGCUCCUUUAAAUGUAAAGGAGCUCAUAUAAUGCAAUUUUAGAAUAAGUCGAAUUAUCUGCAGCUACUCCAAUCAGUUCUGAAUUUCCAAACUUUCGAUUCAACUUAUUAGGCAAAGUUUCUAAAAUAAAGCUUGGGAAACUCCUUUAAAAUGUAGUGAUUGCACUGUGUAUUUUGGCUUCAAUUCCAGUUACAGUGAUCUUGUGAGCGUUGAAGUUCAUCGAGAAUUUUUUGCGCUUAAUUAUGGGACAAAAACGAAGAAGUAAUCUUGCCAUUUUGAGUACCGAGUGUCUAUUAGCACUAAAUCUUGAGUUCUAUAAUGUGAAGAGUUUUCAAAAUAAAGGACUAGAAAAAUAAUAGAGUAAGAAACAAAAGCUGGGUUACUUAAUUAUACUUAUAUAGCAGUAAUAUAAUCAAAAAAUUUGA